UACGUAGGGUGCAAGCGUUAAUCGGAAUUACUGGGCGUAAGGCGUGCGCAGGCGGUUUUGUAAGUUUGUCGUGAAAGCCCCGGGCUCAACCUGGGAAUGGCGAUGAAGACUGCAAGGCUUGAAUCUGGCAGAGGGGGGUAGAAUUCCACGUGUAGCAGUGAAAUGCGUAGAGAUGUGGAGGAACACCGAUGGCGAAGGCAGCCCCCUGGGUCAAGAUUGACGCUCAUGCACGAAAGCGUGGGGAGCAAACAGG
rnacentral:rRNA from 1 species